rnacentral:rRNA from 1 species
AUACGUAGGUGACAAGCGUUAUCCGGAUUUACUGGGCGUAAAGGGCGUGUAGGCGGUCUUGCAAGUCAGAAGUGAAAUUCCUGAGCUCAACUCGGGCGCUGCUUCUGAAACUGCAGGACUUGAGUGCUGGAGGGGAUAGCGGAAUUCCUAGUGGAGCGGUAAAAUGCGCAGAUAUUAGGAAGAACACCGGUGGCGAAGGCGGCUAACUGGACAGUAACGGACGCUGAGGCGCGAAGGCGUGGGGAGCAAACAGGAUUAGAUCCCCUGGUAGUCCACGCCGUAAACGAUGAAUACUAGGUGUAGGGGGUAUCGACUCCCUCUGUGCCGCAGUUAACACAAUAAGUAUUCCGCCUGGGGAGUACGGCCGCAAGGUUGAAACUUAAAUGAAUUGACGGGG